UACGUAGGGUGCAAGCGUUGUCCGGAAUUAUUGGGCGUAAAGAGCUCGUAGGCGGUCAGUCGCGUCUGCUGUGAAAACUCGGGGCUUAACUCCGGGCCUGCAGUGGGUACGGGCUGACUAGAGUGCGGUAGGGGGAGACUGGAAUUCCUGGUGUAGCGGUGAAAUGCGCAGAUAUCAGGAGGAACACCGGUGGCGAAGGCGGGUCUCUGGGCCGUAACUGACGCUGAGGAGCGAAAGCGUGGGGGAGCGAACAGG
rnacentral:rRNA from 1 species